UUUUUGUGGUCCGGUGUACUUCGCCAGGCAGAUUUUUCUAUUUCUAUUUUUGGUUGCAUUUAAAAUUCCUGCCAGCUGGCUUUAUUGAAACAUCUUCCUUUCAAAAAAAAAAGAAGAAGAAUCUUUUGUUUUUAACUUCUCAGAUGCUUCACUGGAGGUCUUAAAUAGAUCUCUAAUCUGUUAAAAUUGGAGGACAGUUAUUGGGCUGCAGUGUGUGUGUGUGUGUGUGUGUGUGUGUGUGUGUGUGUGUGUGUGUGUGUGUGUGUGUGUGCGCCCCAGUUCCGUCUCCGUGGAUGUUUCAUCCUUCAGAUAUCAUGUGCUGCCUGCGUGCAGGGUGUCUUGUUUUCAUGGCCAUUUGUCUCUGUGUCAGAAGGAAAGCUCUAUCAUGUGAUCGACCCAUUCAUCCUAAUACCCUUACAGUCUCCUCAUGCUUAUCAAGCACACGUCGGUCUGCUUCUGCAAAAAUGCUCCCUCUGUCCCAUCUUGCUUUAUCAUGGCAGGCCCGCUGUGCAGGAUUGCGGUUUGGAAGGACCGUUCGGGAAGCGAGACGGCCAUGACGAUGUCCUGGGCGGGAUGGAAAAUCCAACAAAGCAAAAAGGGGUUUAGCCCAGCCCAGCCUAGUCAGCUGCAGCCCAGUGAAUCAUUUAUGACUGAGCGGGAAUGGGAACACAUCCCAGUAUCCCCGCCUGCUUUUCUCUUUUGAAUUUUUUUUUUUUUCUCCAACUGUCAGCGAAGGGAGCCGUUGAACAACAGGCUGCUGGUGAAAUUGAAAGAUUGAAUAGUCCAGAUCCCAGUGCUGGCUGUACGCCGUAUAUAAAUGCAGAGAUCUUACUUGUGUUCGAUGCCUCAAAGGCAAAGCCGGACAAGAUGGCUCUUUUCUUUCAUGUCCCGUUUGUUUUCCAGCAGAUGUUUUUCAGCUGCGAUUCCUUUGUUUUGUGUGAAGAGGCGGCGCUCCACCAACAGAGGGCGCUGCUGCAGCAGCUUCAUUGUGGCUGUGGUGUGCGGGCCUUGGCCUGCAGUGAGCGGGGAGGCUCACGUAGGAUCAGAGGUCCCUCUCUAUCCUGUAAACAAUCCGGUGUGAGUGAUCACCUAAAAAAAAAAAAAAAUAGGCCUUUUCAUUUCAUACAGGACUCCUCACUCAUACUCAACGUUGUGUUUUUCCAUCAUCCCUUUCCUCUAAAUGAGCCAUGAGCAGGGUUGUCCAGCUGGAUCUUGAAGACAAAACCGUGCACACAGAAAGAUAUGUGAAGAGAGAAAAAGAGAGCGAGAGAGAGAGAAAAAAAAAAGAAAGAGGGCUCUGUUGCUGAGGUCACCACAGAAGCAUUAGGAGCGCGUUCUCUAGUGCCUCCAGACUCCAGAGCUCCGCGGAGCACGCGGACGCUUUCCAGGUCUGCUGUGGAGGGAGGCGCAGGAGGGAGGAGGAGGCCGGGUGUGCAGUGGAAGUGUGCAGUGGCGGAGUCCAUUUAUAGCAGCUGAGACUCCAGGAGCAGGGAGUGCAUCAGUUCAAGCCCCGGAGUGUCUGGAAAAUCCCAGAAUAAUUGUCACUCUCCAGCCUCCUCCGCCUCCUCUCUCUCUCUCUCUCUCUUUCAUUUCUCUCUGUCUCUCUCUCACACCCUCCUUCUCCCCACUCUUCCUCCCUCCCUCCCUCCCCCCUUCCUUUUUUACUAUCUCAUUCUCUUUUGCCUCCCUCUCCCCUUUUUCCCCAUUUCCGUCUACCUCUCCCUCAGUCUCGCUCUCCUUCUUUCUUUCACUCUCACCCUCUCAUCAUCGUGAGCCGUGUGUGUGUGUGUGUGUGUGUGUGUGUGUGUGUAGCACUGCACCGUGUGGCAGUUCAUUUCACAGCCAAAAUAACUCAUCUGUUACAGUGCAUAUUGAGCGACUCCGUGCAUAUGGACCAAACCUUUCAGCCUCCAUUCGAGCGAGUCAUUUUGAUUGGUGAUGUGCGGGGCCAUAGAGAGACAGGGAGAGCCAGAUGGCUUCCAGAGGCAGCUGUGUCCUCUGGCCGACUGAGUCGAGAGGCCCGAUGCGUGGAUCCGCGUCUCUGGAGUGGAGCCGCGGCCUGGCCGGUAGCUGAGGGCUGAGAGCAGUCUCACCAUGCAGCCCAGACAGGCCUGGUCCUGCCCCCUCUCACACACACCCUCUCACAGACUCGCACAGUGCUGCUCAACUAGGAAAUUAGCCCAGGAGAGAAAGAGGCACUAUAGGAAAUAGAUGCUGAGGAGGGGGACAGGAAUGAAACCUGAUGAGAGAUAGAGC
ensembl:lncRNA